rnacentral:rRNA from 1 species
GUGCCAGCAGCCGCGGUAAUACAGAGGUCCCGAGCGUUGUUCGGAUUUACUGGGCGUAAAGGGUGCGUAGGUGGUCGGGUAAGUCUCAUGUGAAAUCCCGCAGCUUAACUGCGGAACGGCAUGGGAUACUAUUCGGCUCGAGGAUUGGAGGGGGGACUGGAAUUCCCGGUGUAGCAGUGAAAUGCGUAGAUAUCGGGAGGAACACCAGUGGCGAAGGCGAGUCCCUGGACAAUUCCUGACGCUGAGGCACGAAAGCCAGGGGAGCAAACAGGAUUAGAAACCCCCGUAGUCC